AACGAACGCUGGUGGCGUGCUUUAACACAUGCAAGUCGAACGAGAAAGUUUCCUUCGGGAAAUUAGUAAAGUGGCGCAAGGGUGAGUAUCACGUGAAUAAUCUGCCCUCGAGAUCGGGAUAACCUGGCGAAAGCUAGGCUAAUACCGUAUAAGACCACGUUUCAUAAGAAAUGCGGAAAAAGAAGUCUCAACCUUUACUCGGGGAUGAGUUCGCGGACCAUUAGCUUGUUGGUGAGAUAAAAGCUCACCAAGGCUACGAUGGUUAGCCGGCCUGAGAGGGUGAACGGCCACACUGGAACUGAGAUACGGUCCAGACUCCUACGGGAGGCAGCAGUGGGGAAUAUUGCGCAAUGGGGCGAAAGCCUGACGCAGCAACGCCGUGUGAGCGAUG
rnacentral:rRNA from 1 species